rnacentral:rRNA from 1 species
GACGAACGCUGGCGGCGUGCCUAACACAUGCAAGUUGAGCGACGAACCAGGGCUUGCCCUGGGGCAAAGCAGCGAACGGGUGAGUAACACGUGGGUAACCUACCCCGAUAACCGGGACGACCCGAGGAAACUCGGGCUAAUACCGGAUGUGCUCACUGGACUUCGGUUCAGUGCGUAAAGGAAGCUUCGGCCCCCGUAUCGGGAGGGGCCCGCGGCCCAUUAGUUUGUUGGUGAGGUAACGGCUCACCAAGACCGCGAUGGGUAGCUGGUCUGAGAGGACGAUCAGCCACACUGGGACUGAGACACGGCCCAGACUCCUACGGGAGGCAGCAGUGGGGAAUCUUGCGCAAAGCGCGAAAGCGUGACGCAGCAACGCCGCGUGGGGGAAGAAGGCCUUCGGGUUGUAAACCCCUUUCAGGAGGGACGAAGGUUCGGCGGUGAAUAGCCGUCCGGACUGACGGUACCUCCACAAGAAGCCCCGGCUAACUACGUG